GCUGCCGCCGAGGCCGCCGCCGCCCGAGCUCCAGCAGCAGCUACCGCAGCUGCCCGCCCGCCGCCGAGAGCCAUCCCCAACCAUAUGAGGCUCCAUGUGACCGGCUGACAUCACGGCCGCCGCUCUGUUUACACCGCGCCCCUUUCGCUCCGGGCCGCUCUGCCCCGCCCUCCCGGGCCAGGUUAGAAAAGUCCUGCCCUGCAGAUGGUGGCUACCUUCCCUCACCGCCUGGCAAGUCAUUAAGUACAAUUUCCCCCCGUUUGGAGUCUGGAAGCUGUCUAGUCUUUUGUUAAAACUCCUUGGGGUAUCCCGUGCCCCCCAUCUCCCCCUUUUUUUCCGACGUGAUUCUGGGCGCUGGUGGUCAAGAGACUGAUUUUCUCGGGAUGGGGAAGGGGAAGAAGGGAGAACUGCAAACCGUAGACUGCAAGAUCCUAAGCGAGCGAAAAGGAAUAUUAUUAGCAGAGGAGAUGUGCUAUUUGUUUUACAGCAGCAGAGAACUGUAACUCUCCAGACUUUCUCACACCCACCACAGACAUAAACUGGGGUGAGAACCACGUACUUUGGCUGACAACCUUACAGACGGAAUUAAGGCUCAAAGACUAUCCCCAGUCAUUUUAUGCAACCCAAGUCUGCAAGACAACCAACUACUCGUAAUAUCCUUGAUCUUUGUUCUGACCCCGACGAACAAUUCAGAUACCAAUUUUAUAAUUUAAAAUUGCUACUUAAUUUUUUUCUCUCUAGGAACAAUAGUAGCAACAGCAACAACAAAUUUAAUCUCGCCUUUAUAAAAUUUAACUAAUUUGAAACCAAUACUUGAAAAACAAAAUAAAUCCCAAAUUUUGAAGUU